AUGCAUCAGUACGGAGGUAGAGCCUCACGUGCGAUGCAAGGAACGUCAAGACCGAAUCCAGUCUGGGGUAUACUUUGGAAGUUGAAUGUCCCAGCAAAAAUAAAAAAAAUUGGGUGGCGUCUGCUACAUGGUCUGAUCCCAGUCCGAGCUGUUCUUGCCAACCAUCAUAUUGGGACUAAUGGGAUUUGCCCUUUAUGUAAGCAAGGACCUGAGGACACUGUUCACCUUUUAUUCAGUUGUGUUCAAGCAAGGGACGUCUGGUUGAAAUUGGGACUGAGUGAGUUUAUUGCUGAUGCUAGUACAGUUGACAGAUAUGGGUCAUUUGUAGUUGAACAUAUUUUAAGAUCAAACUUCAAUCAGAUGCCGGGCUAUCCUGAUUUAUGUAUUCACGAUGUUGUGCUUACUGGGUGUUGGUAUAUAUGGUGGAUGCGCCGUCAGGUAACACAUGAAGGUGCGGUCCCUCCGGUGAACAAGUGUGCACUCUCUAUUCUAGCAAUUACUUCAAAUUAUUCUAAAACUUCUGCGAAGGUGACCAGUGUUGUAAAGGAGAAAUGGGUAAAACCAGCUGGGGGAUGUUUGAAAUUAAAUGUUGAUGCCUCUUAUCAUGCGGAGGAUGGAACUGGGGCGACAGGUGCUGUUCUCCGAGACUCCUCGGGUACCUUCCUGGCUGGACGUUCUCGGUUCAUUCCCUAUGCCGCUUCUGCCCAAACUAUGGAGGUGAUGGCCCUUCGAGAUGGUUUACUGCUAGCAAAUGAGGUUGGCUGUAAUCGCCUUCAAGCAGAGUCUGAUUGCAUGGGUGUUAUAGAUGCAUUAUCGGGAACAAGUCAGUGGUAUGACCAAGCAGCUCCGAUUUAUGCAUCGUGCACCGGAAUUGCUCGAGAUAUUGGUUUGGUUAAUUUUAUGCAUUGUCAUAGGGAAGCUAAUGUAGUGGCGCACGAACUAGCUAGGUUUUGUUUUUCACAGAAAGUUGAUUGCAUUUGGCACGAUGAGGCCCCUAGCUUUAUUCUGCAGUUCUUGUUGAACGAUGUAAACAUUUUAUGA
rnacentral:rRNA from 1 species